rnacentral:rRNA from 1 species
UACGGAGGGUGCGAGCGUUGUUCGGAAUUACUGGGCGUAAAGCGGGUGUAGGCGGUUUGUUAAGUCAGAUGUGAAAGCCCACGGCUCAACCGUGGAAGUGCAUCUGAAACUGGCUGACUUGAGUACCGGAGAGGGAAGUGGAAUUCCUGGUGUAGGGGUGAAAUCCGUAGAUAUCAGGAGGAACACCGGUGGCGAAGGCGACUUCCUGGACGGAUACUGACGCUGAGAUCCGAAAGCGUGGGGAGCAAACAGG